AGAACGAACGCUGGCGGCAUGCCUAAUACAUGCAAGUCGAACGAACACUUCGGUGUUAGUGGCGCACGGGUGCGUAACGCGUGGGAAUCUGCCCUUGGGUUCGGAAUAACAGUUGGAAACGACUGCUAAUACCGGAUGAUGACGAAAGUCCAAAGAUUUAUCGCCCAGGGAUGAGCCCGCGUAGGAUUAGCUAGUUGGUGAGGUAAAGGCUCACCAAGGCGACGAUCCUUAGCUGGUCUGAGAGGAUGAUCAGCCACACUGGGACUGAGACACGGCCCAGACUCCUACGGGAGCAGCAGUAGGGAAUAUGGACAAUGGGCGCAAGCCUGAUCAGCAAUGCCGCGUGAGUGAUGAAGGCCUUAGGGUUGUAAAGCUCUUUACCCGAGAUGAUAAUGACAGUAUCGGAGAAUAAGCCCUGGCUAACUCCGCGCCACGCACGCCGC
rnacentral:rRNA from 1 species